rnacentral:sRNA from 1 species
AAGUCGUAACAAGGUUUCCGUAGGUGAACCUGCGGAAGGAUCAUUCAUAAUAAGUGUUUAUGGCACUUCUUAAAUCCAUAUCCACCUUGUGUGCAAUGUCAGCCGUUUUCUUUAUGAAAGCGGCCAAACAUCAACUUAUUUUUUAACUGUCUGUCUGAAAACUAUUAUGAAUAAACAAUUCAAAUACAACUUUCAACAACGGAUCUCUUGGCUCUCGCAUCGAUGAAGAACGCAGCGAAAUGCGAUACGUAAUGUGAAUUGCAGAAUUCAGUGAAUCAUCGAAUCUUUGAACGCAUAUUGCGCUCUUUGGUAUUCCGAAGAGCAUGCUUGUUUGAGUAUCAGUAAACACCUCAAAGCCUUCAAUUCAGUUUGAAAGCUUUGGACUUGAGCAAUCCCAACAUCAGUCUCGCGACUGACGGAGGGCUGCUUGAAAUGCAGGUGCAGCUGGACAUUCUCCUGAGCUAUAAGCAUAUUUAUUUAGUCCCGUCAAACGGAUUAUUACUUUUGCUGCAGCUAACAUAAAGGGAGUCUGACCGUAUUGGCUGACUGAUGCAGGAUUUCACAAGGGCUGGCAACAGCUUCUUGUAAAACUCGAUCUCAAAUCAAGUAAGACUACCCGCUGAACUUAAGCAUAUCAAUAAGCGGAGGAAAAGAAACUAACAAGGAUUCCCCUAGUAACGGCGAGUGAAGCGGGAUGAGCUCAAAUUUAAAAUCUGGCUGGUUUACUAGUCCGAAUUGUAGUUUAUAGAAGCGUUUUCGGUGGCAGCCUGGGUAUAAAUCCUUUGGAAUAGGGUAUCAUAGAGGGUGAGAAUCCCGUCUUUGACUCAGUGCAUGCUACUAUGUGAUACGUUUUCAAA